UUCAGCUUGGCAGAUUAAUGCAAUAAAUUUAGAAUUUAUUUAUGAGAAAACUCAGUUGAUA
rnacentral:tRNA from 2 species